rnacentral:rRNA from 1 species
CCUACGGGAGGCAGCAGUGGGGAAUAUUGCACAAUGGGGGAAACGCUGAUGCAGCGACGCCGCGUGAGUGAAGACGGAAUUCGGUAUGGAAAACUCCAUCUGCAGGGAAGAAAAUGACGGUACGUGAGUAAGUAGCCCAGUCUAACUCAGUUCCAGAACGCGUGGCAAUACGGAGGGAGCAAGCGUUAUCCGGAUUUACUGGGUGUAAAGGGAGCGUAUACGGCAGUGGAAGUCUGGAGUGAAAUGCCGGGGCUCAACGCCCGAACUGCUCUGGAAACUGUACGGCUGGAGUGCAGGAGAGGUAAGUGGAAUGUCUGGUGUAGCGGUGAAAUGCGUAGAUAUUAGGAGGAACACCAGUUGCGAAGGCGGCUUACUGGACUGUAACUGACGUUGAGGCUCGAAAGCGUGGGGAGCAAACAGGAUUAGAUACCCGAGUAGUC